GGAAGCGUGGCCGAGUGGUUGAAGGCGCACGACUCGAAAUCGUGUGGGGCGCAAGCUCUCGGGGGUUCGAAUCCCUUCGCUUCCGCCA
rnacentral:tRNA from 1 species